rnacentral:rRNA from 1 species
CCUACGGGUGGCAGCAGUGGGGAAUAUUCGACAAUGGGGGAAACCCUGAUCCAGCGACGCCGCGUGAGUGAAGAAGUAUUUCGGUACGUAAAGCUCUAUCAGCAGGAAAGAAAAUGACGGUACCUGACUAAGAAGCCCCGGCUAACUACGUGCCAGCAGCCGCGGGAAUACGUAGGGGGCAAGCGUUCUCCCGAUUUACUGGGGGGAAAGGGAGCGUAGACGGCAGGGCAAGUCUGGAGGGAAAUGCCGGGGCCCAACCCCGGGACAGCUCUGGAAACUGUGAAGCUGGAGUGCAGGAGAGGUAAGCGGAAUUCCAGGUGUAGCGGUGAAAUGCGUAGAUAUCAGGAGGAACACCAGCGGCGAAGGCGGCUUACUGGACUGUAACUGACGUUGAGGCUCGAAGGCGUGGGGAGCAAACAGGAUUAGAUACCCCAGUAGUC